rnacentral:lncRNA from 1 species
UUUGGUGGCCAAAUUAAAAAUAGUUUAUUAGGCGCGUUCGUCGGGAACUUCACUGCUCAUAUCUGCUUCACCCACUCUUCAUCUACCUUAAACCGUGAAACCCCAACAUCUCCCUCAACCGUGAAACCCCCAAUGUCUCUCCUCCAUUGCUCAACAAAAUCGUUCUCCUCCAUCACCCCUUAUGUUUAACUGUGACCAAACCCCUUUCCAUCAGAAACGCCUGCUAACAACUCAUGCAAACCCAUCCAGAUCGAAACCAAAGGUUCAAUUUUGGGGAAUAAAGAAAAGGGGAAGAGGAAGCAGGAAUGUGGAUGAAUGACCUGAGCAUGGUUUGGUGGCGUGAACUUUGAGAAGGAGAAUAGGCAAGAGGUUACAAUGAAGAAGAUGAAGGACAGGUGAGAGGGAGACAGACGUAAUGCACAUAAAAUACGGUGAUUUUCAAAACCACCGUGAAUACACCGCCACAAUUUUCUCUUUUUUGUAGUGUCAUUAUCAUGUUUAUUUGAAAUAUUUAUAUAUUUAUGGUCAAAAUGUCAUUUCAUUCAAAAUCAAUCUUCUCUCUUUCUAUUCUCUAUUCAACCGAAUAAGAGGAGAGAGAUUUUCA